rnacentral:ncRNA from 1 species
CAAAGGUUUGGUCCUAGCCUUAUUAUUAAUUAUUGCUAGUUCUACACAUGCAAGUUUCCGCUGUCCGGUGAGACAUGCCCUGAGAGCUCUAAUUUUUAAAGCCUACAGGAGUUGGUAUCAGGCACGCUUAAUGUGGCCCAUGACGCCUUGCCAAGCCACACCCCUACGGGCUGCAGCAGUGACUAACCUUGGGCCAUAAACGAAAGUUCGACCAGGCCAUAGUGAUUACGGGCUGGUAAAUUUCGUGCCAGCCACCGCGGUCAUACGAUUAGCCCAAAUUAAUAAUCAAACGGCGUAAAGCGUGUUUAAGCUCUACCAAUAAUAAAGUUAAUACUUGACUAGGCUGUAAAACGUAACAGUCAGGUAUAAAGUACACGACUAAAGUGACUUUAGCACAGCUGAACACACUACAGCUAAGACCCAAACUGGGAUUAGAUACCCCACUAUGCUUAGCCAUAAACCUAGAUAGCCUAUAAACAAGGCUAUUCGCCAGAGAACUACAAGCAAGCGCUUAAAACUCAAAAGACUUGGCGGUGCCCUAAACCCACCUAGAGGAGCCUGUUCUAUAAUCGAUAAACCCCGAUAAACCUUACCUUUUCUUGCCAAUACAGCCUAUAUACCGCCAUCGUCAGCUUACCCCAGUAGAGUAAAAGAGUAGGCGUAAUAAUUAACCAUAAAAACGUUAGGUCAAGGUGUAGCAGAUGAAAAGGCAAGCAAUGGGCUACAUUUUCUAAGUUAGAAAACACGAAUUAUCUUAUGAAAUCUAAGAUAUUGAAGGAGGAUUUAGCAGUAAAUUAAGAAUAGAGAGCUUGAUUGAAACAGGCGAUAGGGCGCGCACACACCGCCCGUCACUCUCCUCGAUAAGCACACAGACUUAAGUAAAACAAAUAAACAAUAAAGAGGAGAAAAGUCGUAACAUGGUAAGCGUACUGGAAAGUGCGCUUGGAACAC